ensembl:snRNA U6 U6 spliceosomal RNA
CUGCUCACUUCAGCAGAACAGAUACUAAAAAUUGGAAUGAUACAGAAAAGAUUAGCUUGGCCAGCCCCUGCACAAACAUGACAUGCAAAUUCAAGAAUGAAAAACUAGUUUU